rnacentral:rRNA from 1 species
CGUAGGUGGCAAGCGUUGUCCGGAAUUAUUGGGCGUAAAGCGCGCGCAGGCGGUCCUUUAAGUCUGAUGUGAAAGCCCACGGCUCAACCGUGAGGGUCAUUGGAAACUGGGGGACUUGAGUACAGAAGAGAAGAGUGGAAUUCCACGUGUAGCGGUGAAAUGCGUAGAGAUGUGGAGGAACACCAGUGGCGAAGGCGACUCUUUGGUCUGUAACUAACGCUGAGGCGCGAAAGCGUGGGGAGCAAACAGGAUUAGAUACCCUGGUAGUCCACGCUGUAAACGAUGAGUGCUAAGUGUUAGAGGGUUUCCGCCCUUUAGUGCUGCAGCUAACGCAUUAAGCACUCCGCCUGGGGAGUACGGCCGCAAGGCUG